rnacentral:lncRNA from 1 species
UGAAUAGUAUAACGGACAUCGGGGUUCUUUUUGCAUUUAAGGAGCUCGGGAAUCCUAGGAUUAUUCUUGUUCUUGACGUCGAGAAAACAUACAGUUGGCACCAGUUGACGGGCUUUCUAUCACGCAAGGGAUAUGAAUUCAGCGUCACAGCUGCGAAGGCUUCGCCAAGGA